UACGAGGGGGGCGAGCGUUGUUCGGAAUUAUUGGGCGUCAAGGGUGCGUAGGCGGUUUGGUAAGUCUUAUGUGAAAUCUACAGGCUCAACUUGUAGUCUGCAUGAGAAACUGCCGGGCUUGAGUAUGGGAGAGGUGAGUGGAAUUCCUGGUGUAGCGGUGAAAUGCGUAGAUAUCAGGAGGAACACCUGUGGCGAAAGCGGCUCACUGGACCAUAACUGACGCUGAUGCACGAAAGCUAGGGGAGCAAACAGG
rnacentral:rRNA from 1 species